rnacentral:ncRNA from 1 species
AUGGUCAGGAUCUUGGCGAUGUAGGGAAUCAAAGGCAAGUUGAGGAUCAACAGCACCAGAUUGCCCAGAUACAUUGAGAUGAUGACCGCCCAGAACACUUCGGGUGUGUCUGUCAUCAGGCGCGGACC